rnacentral:tRNA from 1 species
GGAGCCGUGCCUGAAGUAAAGGGCCACUUUGAUAGAGUGGAUUAUAAGGGUUAAAGCCCCUUCGACUCCU